rnacentral:rRNA from 1 species
UACAGGGGUGGCGAGCGUUGUCCGGAAUUACUGGGUGUAAAGGGUGCGUAGGCGGGUCGGCAAGUCCGUGGUAAAAUCCUACAGCUUAACUGUAGACGGUCCAUGGAUACUGCUGAUCUUGAGUGCGAGAGAGAAGAGUGGAAUUCCCAGUGUAGCGGUGAAAUGCGUAGAUAUUGGGAAGAACACCAGUUGCGAAGGCGGCUCUUUAGCUCGUUACUGACGCUGAGGCACGAAAGCAUGGGGAGCAAACAGG